rnacentral:RNase_P_RNA from 1 species
CCGGCAGGCCGCUUUAUCGCUCCCGGUUUAGGUUGGGAGAGGAAAGUCCGGGCAACGCAGGGCGCCGUGCUUCCUAACGGGAAGAUCUUUGAAAGGGGAUAGUAGUGUAACAGAAAAUAACCACCUCUCCCGAUUGCGAUUGGGACGGGGAACGGGUGAAAAGGUGGGGUAAAAGCCUACCGGUGGCCGUGGCAACACAGUCAGCCGUACACCUCACGGGUUGCAAAGCCAAAUAUAUUCUGAUUGCGCGGCUGUUGCAGCGCAGCGAGGUUGCCCGCUUCGUUUCCGGAUGCACACCGGAUGUCAGGAGGGGUAGGCUGCAAUGAUCCCGGCAGUGAUGCCGGGGCCAGAUAAAUGAUAAAGGUCCUGAUGCAAAUUAGGAUACAGAAUCCGGCUUACAGGCCUGCCAUUUUU